rnacentral:lncRNA from 1 species
CCGCGUGCCCGUCACCGUCACCAAGUGAGGGACAGCAGAACAUUGGGGUAUUGGGGCUUUGGGAACAUUGGGGACAUCAGAGGUACAACCUGACAACGUGGGGCCCAUCUGGAACCUGCACAGGGUCCUCAGCAAUGCCUGGCACCGCGUGCCCAUCACCGUCACCAAGUGAGGGACAUCCUUGGGGACAGCAGGACAUUGGGGUAUUGGGGACACAGCAGGGACAUUGGGGUCAUUGGGGACAUCUGGAACCUGAGCGGGGUCCUCAGCAACGCCUGGCACCGGGUCAGUGUCACUGCCACCAAGUGAGGGACAGCAGGACAUUGGGGUAUUGGGGUAUUGGGGACAUCAGAGGUACAACCCAACACCGAGGGUGAGGGACAUCCUUGGGGACACCAGGACAUUGGGGUAUUGGGGACACAGCAGGGACAUUGGGGUCACUGGGGCUUUGGGGACAUUGGGGACACAGCAGGGACAUUGGGGUCAUUGGGGACAUCUGGAACCUGUGUGGGGUCCUCAGCAACACCUGGCACCGCGUGCCCGUCACCGUCACCAAGUGAGGGACAGCAGGACAUUGGGGUAUUGGGGACACAGCAGGGACAUUGGGGUCAUUGGGGACAUCUGGAACUUCAGCAAUGCCUGGCACCGGGUCAGUGUCACUGCCACCAAGUGAGGGACAUCCUUGGGGACAGCAGGACAUUGGGGUAUUGGGGCUUUGGGGACACAGCAGGGACAUUGGGGACAUCUGGAACCUGAGAGGGGUCCUCAGCAAUGCCUGGCACUGUGUCCCUGUCACCGUCACCAAGUGAGGGACAGCAGGACAUUGGGGUAUUGGGGACAUUGGGGACAUCAGAGGUACAACCCAACACCGAGGGUGAGGGACAUCCUUGGGGACAGCAGGACAUUGGGGUAUUGGGGCUUUGGGGACAUUGGGGACACAGCAGGGACAUUGGGGACAUCAGAGCUACAACGUCCAACCCGACACCGUGGGGCCCAUCUGGAACCUGAGAGGGGUCCUCAGCAACGCCUGGCACCGCGUGCCCGUCACCGUCACCAAGUGAGGGACAUCCUUGGGGACAGCAGGGACAUUGGGGUCAUUGGGGACAUCUGGAACCUGAAAGGGGUCCUGAACAACGCCUGGCACCGCGUGCCCGUCACCGUCACCAAGUGAGGGACAGCAGGACAUUGGGGUAUUGGGGCUUUGGGGACAUUGGGGACACAGCAGGGA